UUUAUUUGAGAGUUUGAUCCUGGCUCAGGAUGAACGCUGGCGGCGUGCCUAACACAUGCAAGUUGAGCGAUUUACUUCGGUAAAGAGCGGCGGACGGGUGAGUAACGCGUGGGUAACCUACCCUGUACACACGGAUAACAUACCGAAAGGUAUGCUAAUACGGGAUAAUAUAUUUGGGAGGCAUCUCUUAAAUAUCAAAGGUGAGCCAGUACAGGAUGGACCCGCGUCUGAUUAGCUAGUUGGUAAGGUAACGGCUUACCAAGGCGACGAUCAGUAGCCGACCUGAGAGGGUGAUCGGCCACAU
rnacentral:rRNA from 1 species